UACGAGGACGACGCUGGCGGCGUGCUUCAUACAUGCAAGUCGAACGAGAAGCUGACUUCGGUCAGUGGAAAGUGGCGGACGGGUGAGUAAUGUGUAGAGAAUCUGCCCUAGAGAGGGGGACAACAGUUGGAAACGACUGCUAAUACCCCAUAUGAGCGUAGCUGAAAUGCUAUUCUUGAAAACUCCGGUGCUCUGGGAUGAGUCUGCAUCUGAUUAGCUAGUAGGCGGUGUAAUGGACCACCUAGGCGACGAUCAGUAGCUGGUUUGAGAGGAUGAUCAGCCACAAUGGGACUGAGACACGGCCCAUACUCCUACGGGAGGCAGCAGUAGGGAAUUUUGCGCAAUGGGGGGAAACCCUGAACCGCAGCAACGCCGCGUGAAUGAAGAAGCCCUUCGGGGUGUAAAGUUCUGUCAGUGGGGACGAAACUUGACGGUACCCACAGAGGAAGCAUCGGCUAACUCCGUGCCAGCCGCCGC
rnacentral:rRNA from 1 species